AGUGAACGCUGGCGGUAGGCCUAACACAUGCAAGUCGAACGGCAGCACAGUAAGAGCUUGCUCUUACGGGUGGCGAGUGGCGGACGGGUGAGGAAUACAUCGGAAUCUACUUUUUCGUGGGGGAUAACGUAGGGAAACUUACGCUAAUACCGCAUACGACCUACGGGUGAAAGCAGGGGAUCUUCGGACCUUGCGCGAUUGAAUGAGCCGAUGUCGGAGUAGCUAGUUGGCGGGGUAAAGGCCCACCAAGGCGACGAUCCGUAGCUGGUCUGAGAGGAUGAUCAGCCACACUGGAACUGAGACACGGUCCAGACUCCUAAGGGAGGCAGCAGUGGGGAAUAUUGGACAAUGGGCGCAAGCCUGAUCCAGCCAUACCGCGUGGGUGAAGAAGGCCUUCGGGUUGUAAAGCCCUUUUGUUGGGAAAGAAAAGCAGCAGGUUAAUACCCCGCUGUUCUGACGGUACCCAAAGAAUAAGCACCGGCUAACUUCGUG
rnacentral:rRNA from 1 species